GGAAAUAUAGUUCAGUGGUAGAGCACUUACUUACCUAGUAUGUCUGAGGCCCUAGGUUCAAAUCCUAGCACUGCUA
rnacentral:tRNA from 1 species